GACGAACGCUGGCGGCGUGCUUAACACAUGCAAGUCGAACGGACAGGCCAUGCUUUUGUGGGGUGCUCGUGUGGCGAACGGGUGAGUAUCACGUGAGUGAACUGCCCUUGUCUUUGGGAUAUAUUCAGGAAACUGGGGCUAAUACCCGCUAUGAGCUCCAGCUGCAUGUUGUGGGUUGGAAAGUUUCGGCGGUUGGGGCUGGACUCGCGGCUUCUCAGCUUGUUGGUGGGGUAGUGGCUUACAAAGGCUUUGAAGGGUAGCCGGCAUGAGAGGGUGACCGGCCACAAUGGGACUGAGAGACGGCCCAGACGCCUACGGUAGGCAGCAGGGGGGAAUAUUGCAGAAUGGGCGGAAGCCUGAUGCAGCAACGCCGCGUGCGGGAUGACGUCCUUCGGGGUGUAAACCACUUUCUCCGGUGACGAAGCGUGAGUGACGGUAAUUAGUAAAGAAGCACCGGCUAACUACGUG
rnacentral:rRNA from 1 species